ensembl:lncRNA novel transcript
CAUCAACGCCCGAGUCUAUGGUGAUGAUAAUGUUUGUGCAAAGUGGAUGCCAAGUGACUGCACAAUCAAGGUUUCUGAGUAGUUGAAAUAGAUAAGUCUUGAGUCAAUCAGUACAUCUGUACCACAUUCAUGUGGCAAAUGCUGCUUUAUGGAGAUGUUUCUAAUACUGACCUACAAUAAUUCAGCCAAGAUCACGUUUCUACUGUCUUCAGGAAAUGAGAAAAAUGAAUCCAGGAAAUUUCCAUCUUUAACUAUACUCUGUAAAUGUGCUGUCCAAUACACAGAUAGCUACUGAGCACUGGAAUAUAGCUAGUCUGAAUGGAGAUGUUCUCUGCCCAGUUCUCCUCCUUCAGUGGAACCAGCUAUUGUUCCUUCCAAGGUUCUUGUGUAUUGCUUCAAAGGCACCCAGAGAAACUAUUUGGUGUAAGAAGAGAAUACAAUAUUAAGGCAUGAUGAAUACAAAGAAGAUUUCUAUUUUUAAGAGGGAGGUAUUGACUUUCAUCUGCAUCUUGAUUUAAUUUUUGUUCUGGAAAACAAAGGUCUCCAUAGGAAUUAGUAGUGAACCUCUAGAAAUACACUGGAUGAAGACCGCUAAGCCAGUGCUACUCAAAAUGUGAUUCAUAGCCUGAUACCUGCUUCUGAACUGAUACUGGAUCGCAAUAAGAAGGACGUGUUUGCUUCCCCUUCUGCCGUGACUGUAAGUUUCCUGAGGCCUCCCCAGCCCUGCAGAACUUGAACACCGUGUACAUCAAGGAAGAUAAUUACAACUUUUUCAAGUCUUCUAAAAUCGAAUCAAGAGCUGCCAACAGCUAGGCCCAGUGAAAUGUGGAAAUCACUCAUGUCUUCCUACCUUGUAAUAAGCCUAACCUCUUAGGUUAUUUCCUGGCCUCCCUUCUGUGACCUUUGACCAAGGCCAACCUUUAGCUGGAGAAUGUGACAUUUUGUUCUCCUCUGGCUGACAUGUGAUGCUCUCAUUAUUCAAAGGAAAAGUGUUGUCAUUUGAACGUCAAGGGUUUCUCAGACCACCAGAAAAGAUUAUCUCCUUUUGAUAUCUCUGCUUAGAGGAAUACAGAAUGUGGCCACAUGUUACUCUUCUACCAAUGUCAGGAUAAAGCAUGCAUUAGGAUCCCUCAGUGGAGAACUAUGUCCAUUCCAUGCUCCUUCCAACUAGUUUGAGAAAUGGCUCCAAAUUUUCCUUAAUAUUAUUCUGAAUUGCUCUAUGAAGUAAAUGUCAGGCAUUUUAUUUCCAUUUCCCUAAAAUAGAGAAUGGGUUGCUAGGGAAAAUGCCUAAGCCAGCCAUAAAGCAUUUCCAAAGGGAGGACAUAGUGAAUAAAAAAUGUUAAUUCCUGUCUUGUUUAACAAGCUCUCAUGGCAGCUCCAAGGGGUAGUAAAAUUUAUACUCCUACCAGGACAGCUCUAGACUAUGGCAUCAGCAUGGGAUGGAAAGUAGCCCUGGGAAACAGAAUAGUGUGGUUGCCUGCUACCCUUUACUUAUCUGAAUAGUUUGUCUCUGCUGUGCCCAGGAGGUUUGCACCUCAUGGGGUGGGAGGUGGUGCAAUCAGGUAAGAAUGCUCUUUACUUACUCCUUUGUCGGAAAAAGGAUGACUGUAAUGUGUGGGCUGGAGUGGAGUGGAACUGAGUUUAAAAUCUGCAGUAACAUAAAAUUAAAGACUAGGUAUUAACAAUGGCUUUGCACUCUGAGUUGCCAUGGGCUGAGAGGGACAGCUGGACAGCCAGAGGGAUUCCAGAGGGACUUGGCAGGACAGAGCAGUGUAAGCCAUCUUACUGCCUCGAAAAACACAGGUAGGAGCACAUCAGACUUCAGUAACACAGGAUUUAUCUCAGUAUCCAUUUUUUCUGAUUCUCAGUUUUCUUAUCCAUAAAAUAGAUUAAAUAAUAUAUGCUUUGUGAGGUUCUUGUGAAGAUUAAAUGAGAUGAAAAAUGCAAAGUGCUGGAGGAACACCUGCAGGAGCUCUAUCCAUGAAAAACUGUUGGCCGGGCACGGUGGCUCACGCCUGUAAUCCCAGCACUCUGGGAGGCCGAGGCGGGUGGAUCACCUGAGGUAGGGAGUUAGAGACCAGCCUGGCCAACAUGGGGAAACCCCGUCUCUACUAAAAAUAAAAAUAUCAGCCAGACGUGGUUGCGGGCGCCUGUAAUCCCAGCUACUUGGGAGGC